rnacentral:lncRNA from 10 species
GCCGUGUCCCUAGAGAUUCUGAUUCAGGAGGUCAAAGGGGGAGGGCAGGAAUCUGUACUAUAAAUAAACAAUCCCCUUUGCCACCACCCAAAGAAGCUGGCUAUUCUUCUAGCUCUUGACUAGAAACAGGCGGCAGGAGGGAACUCUGACCCUGGGCACAGAAGUAUGUGGAGGCCAUACAGCCAUCAGUGUGAGACAGGAUUAAGAUCCAAGUCACUAGGCUCCCAGCAUGCCGGCUCUCCACUAUGUCACUUCUCCUGGCUUCCCGGAACAUCACGGAAACCUUGGAACUGGCAGUUCUCACUCCUGUGUCUUUAUCUCUCCUGAGAUCAGAUUGAGAUGUUCUCCGGCCCCCACCCCAACUCCCCACAAAAGGCCUCAGGCACAGAUCCUAACCAGGACUGGGAGAACAGUUGCUGCAAUGCAAAUCAUCUGCUAAAGUGAUUAUCACAAUCUUUUUGAAAUGAGGCAGGAUAUAAAAUUGAAAACUUCAUAAAACAAUGCUAAUGGGUAAUAGGAAGCUCACAUAAGGACACGGAACAUUUACUCCCUAGCCCAGAAGUCAAUGCCUACUGCCCCAGAGGUUUCAGAGCAGGACAGGCAGAGGGGCUUUGAGGUUAAAGCCAGGACCUAGGAGUAGUAUCUGAGGUACACCUAUCUUUAUGGGAAAACCCUGAACCCAUGACAGGCUCUGCAGGCCCUAUUAUACUGGCCUAGUAGAAUUUUUGUUUGGCUCGUUAGAAUUCAAGAUAUGCUUAAUUUUAUAAUUUAAUCAGGGCCACUUUUUUCUCUUUCUUAUUUUUACUUUUUAUUCUGAUUUAUUAUGCUCUAUGUUCCAAAAGCCCCACACCUCUCACCUUUACUAGCUUUUAUUUCUGGUAUUUUUUUUUUUAAGUUUUGAGCUUAUUUCAAUAUUUUCUAAGGUUCUUUUCAUCAUGGCACCUGGGGAGUCUUAAGGACCUGCUGUUGCCUCUGCCGGUACAAGCCCAUAGACACAUGACCAUCUGUUAUCUAAAAGCAGAGAUAUAAAUAACAAGGCAUUUGGGGAGGGUCAAGACCCCAGACACAAAUUAUUUGCAGGCAUGUAAAUCACUCUUAGUGUACUGAGUUAGCUUUCUUCUUCUUCUUCUUUUUUCUUUGAGAUGGAGUCUAGCUCUGUCUCCCAGGCUGGAGUGCAGUGGCAUGACCUCGGCUCACUGCAACCUCCACCUCCCGGGUUCAAGCGAUUCUCCUGCCUCAGCCUCCCCAGUAGCUAGGAUUACAGGCACGUGACACCAUGCUCGGCUAAUUGCUGUAUUUUUAGUAGAGAUGGGAUUUUGCCAUGUUGGCUAGGCUAGUCUCGAACUGCUGACCUCAGGUGAUCCACCCGUCUCGGCCGCCCAAAGUGUUGGGAUUACAGGCAUGAGCCACUGCACCCAGCCAAGUUAGCUUUCUUCUAACAGCAGCCCAUGUGCUGACUGCCAGUGAAGUCUUUCAAUCUGGGAUGCUAGUUUCUUUUAUUUCAAAAGUGCUAUUGUGUUCUAACAAUGAACUACUCAAAAAAGAGACUGCUGUAUUAGUAAAGGCUACCAAUGUCCUCCUGCAGAUGUUUUUAAGUAACUUCCUGGUGCUCUGUACUUGAGGUGCCUUACAAUGCAUAUGACCCUCCUCUAAGGGCAUGCACCCCAUUCCCCCACCCCAACAUGGUACUAUAUAGAAAUCAAGGGCAUGCCCACCCCACCAUAGUAUAAUAUUAUCCCAAAUCAGAUUUGAAAAAAAAAAAAAAAAACAACUUUUAUGAGGCCUAGAUUUUCAUGAAAUCCAGAUGUUUUAGCCAAUACAACAACAGAAAAUUAAAAAUGGCAGUGACUUUUACUUUUUAAAAAAGUAUUCCAGUUAAGGUUAUUAAGAAAAAAUACUGGUGGGAGAAUAUUAUAAUCUAGAAAUCAAUCCUCUGGAAUAUGUUUCCAAAGUCCUGACUGAACUGGAGUGGAACUUGGGAUGAUCAAAGGUCAGGUCUUUUUAUUUCAUGCAAACUGUAGUUAUACGAAGAAGGUUUCACCCAACUUGCUGUGUAAGGCCAAGUGACCACAGCCAAGCUAAACUUCUGCCCUUAUAUGGUAAGGAAAGGGGGGAAAAAAAAAAACACUGAUGACAUUAAGGGGCACUCCCAUGGAUAACAGAUAAACACAACCUCCUGUGUGUGCCAAAGCCCAUAAUUUAUGAAGCAUAUUUGUAUAAUGAGGGAGAACAGACAUGAACAAGGCAUUGUAGUGCCUCUGCCUUGCCUACAUAUGAAAGCGGAAAUCGAGAGUAUACAUUCCAGUUAACAGCCACUCUGGGAGUGCCAAUGCAAGCACAAAAUGCACCCUCGGUUUUCCUAUCCCGGAAAUACUUACCAAGUGUAAAGAGGGAAAGUGCUGGGAAUUUUUGUAAAUUGGUUAUUUCCCAUGAUUUAAUCAUGUUACUAAUUAAGAACCUUCUGGCCACAACUCCCUGUCUCCUUGUUUGCUGGAUACUACUCAGAAAGGAAGAUUCAUCCUGCCUUUUUCUUUAAAUAAUGAAAAAAAGCAAACAUAACCCUAGUGGGUCACAAGAUCUGGAAUCAAUCAUGUCAAGCAAAGUAGCCUCAUUCCAACAUUUUGAAGGAUCCACACACCUUGGAAACACAGACUAGGAGGAAGUAAGGGAUGGCUGCUUUUUCCAAGGUAAGGGCUGGUUUAAUAGGGCCUAUUAAUUACAGUCUGAGUAUUUGAAUUUAGGCCAACUCUCUGGUCAAAUAUUUUUUGCAGUGGCUCAUGGUUUUGUCACUAAACCUUUAUCUUUGCUGCCAAAAGAAACUGUUACUGCUAGCUUAACUCACAGCCCAAGCUACAUCUAAAUACCUAAGUCAGCUACAUUUAAGUUCCAAUUUCAGAAGUUAGGAACAACUUGCAGCCUGAAAGUCUCUCUUCAAUGGUCUGAUCCAGUCUUCAAGUUGCUGUCUUAAAAGGUUCUGUGUUCAAUCAAUCACCCAGGUAGAUUGUUUGCAAAGAUUACUUAAAAAAAUUGAAACUACUUAAACUACUUUUGAUAUAAAGCCGUGAAAAGAACGAAAGUACUAUCUUUAGCCAACUGGCACAGGAAGAGUUCUGUUAUAAAAACGACGUGCAAAAGAGAAGGUAAGAAUAAAAGUAAUAAUGUGCCCUUCAUAAAAUUUAUCUUUUGUGUCUAACAUCAAUCACUAGGCCAGGAGCCAAUACAAGGCUCUCCUGCAUAGGGUCACACAUACUCUUUCUUAGCAGGGUGAGGAGACCUCAGACUUCUACCACUGAUACCACUUUAACCCAUCAAACAUGCCUACCAGCCCGCCCACUUCCUCUUCAUUCAAGCCCCCCGCCCCAACAAAUGUUGAUUAAAAGCAGUAAAUGAAGUGUUUUAUGAUGUCAUGAAAUGAGCAGGCCAUCUUUAAGACCUCUUGCUGGGUGGGGAACUGAAGGUGAAGGAGCACUGGGCUGCCAGGGCUGUGCAGUUUUAAUGACAGCGGGCACACAGCACUUACCCUUUUGCGCCAAGCAUCAGUGUACUGUCUUUACAUAGUAACUCCUUUAACCGACAGGUAGAUGCUGUUACUAUCCACACUUUACACACAGGGAACUGAAACACAGAGAUUAAGUAACUUGCCCACUGCUAGUAAGUAGUGGAGACAGGAUUCAAGUUCUGACAGUCUGGGUCCAAAGUUCUUGUUUUUAUCCAUCAUAUUCUAUAUAGUUCUAAUGGUUCAAGGACAGCUACUAGCGAGUAAGGGAGUCGGAAUUAGUUUACCACCCAGCCAAGUUCAGGGAUAUCCACAGGACUUUUGCUGACUCGUCCUAUAAAGCAAAUACUGAGAAUUAUCUUUUGCCUAUUAAUUUCCUUAUUCCUGCUUGUAUUUUAUCUGAAACUUUCUCUAGUUGAGCUUUCCUCUGAAGAGGACCAUUUCAGGUCUUGAAGUUUCUGUGGCCAGCCAUACAGCCAUUUACAAACACUUAACUAGAACGAUUUACUCAACUCAGAACAACCCCGUAUAUUAAGCACAGCAGGACAUCAUACUAUCAAUUGUCAUAAAACUCCCAAGGUGUUUGUUUCAGUAUCUUCAUUAAAAACACACACACACAAAAUCGACAAAUAUCCAAUACUAGACUACCUCUGAAAUCCUGUUCGUGUUUGCUGGAUACAUUUGCCUUAGAAGAAAGGAAGGAAGCCAGGUAUUACAUUUAACAAGGGGGAGGGGAAGCCCGCAAGAGAAUACACCCAAUAACUGUUGACAU